rnacentral:lncRNA from 1 species
UGUCCUUGUCCUUUAUGAUUGAUUUGUUCCCAAUAUGGUGUAAUUAGUUUAAUGUUUAGAUGCAACACCUUGAUGAGCAACUCUUGACGUGAUUUGUCCGGUAGAUGCUAGGGGGAGUGUUUUCAGUGCAAUAUCCUAAUAUCUUUCUCUGUGUUGAAAUUUAUGGUUGGUUGUUGAGUUUUUGAUAGCUCUGGGUCUCUGUUCCUCUAAUGGCAUCAUUAUGAGCAUGGGAAACCACGCGAGAAUACUUUGGAUCACCUCCAAAAGUGUCAAUCUCGUGAAUUACGGCCCAUCUAUUAAGAGCGAAAAUA